GGCGCCCAAAGGUUCCCUCAGAAUGGUUGGAAAUCAUUCGCAGAGUGUAAAGGCACAAGGGAGCUUGACUGCGAGACCUACAAGUCGAGCAGGGACGAAAGUCGGGCUUAGUGAUCCGGUGGUUCCGCAUGGAAGGGCCAUCGCUCAACGGAUAAAAGCUACCCCGGGGAUAACAGGCUUAUCUCCCCCAAGAGUCCACAUCGACGGGGAGGUUUGGCACCUCGAUGUCGGCUCAUCGCAUCCUGGGGCUGUAGUCGGUCCCAAGGGUUGGGCUGUUCGCCCAUUAAAGCGGUACGCGAGCUGGGUUCAGAACGUCGUGAGACAGUUCGGUCCCUAUCCGUCGUGGGCGCAGGAAAUUUGAGAGGAGCUGUCCUUAGUACGAGAGGACCGGGAUGGACGCACCGCUGGUGUACCAGUUGUCUUGCCAAAGGCAUCGCUGGGUAGCUAUGUGCGGACGGGAUAAGUGCUGAAAGCAUCUAAGCAUGAAGCCCCCCUCAAGAUGAGAUUUCCCAUAGCGUCAAGCUAGUAAGAUCCCUGAAAGAUGAUCAGGUUGAUAGGUCAGAGGUGGAAGCACGGUGACGUGUGGAGCUGACUGAUACUAAUCGAUCGAGGACUUAACCUAA
rnacentral:rRNA from 2 species